CGUAAACAGAGGGAAGCGAGCCUGCGAGGGGGAGCGAAUCCCAAAAAUAACGUCCCAGUUCGGAUUGUAGUCUGCAACCCGACUACAUGAAGCUGGAAUCGCUAGUAAUCGCGGAUCAGAAUGCCGCGGUGAAUACGUUCCCGGGUCUUGUACACACCGCCCGUCACACCAUGGGAGUCGGAAAUGCCCGAAGUCUGUGACCCAACCUUAGGGAGGGAGCAGCCGAAGGCAGGUCGGAUGACUGGGGUGAAGUCGUAACAAGGUAUC
rnacentral:rRNA from 1 species